rnacentral:rRNA from 1 species
UACGGGGGGGGCAAGCGUUGUUCGGAAUUACUGGGCGUAAAGGGCUCGUAGGCGGCCAACUAAGUCGGAUGUGAAAUCCCCAGGCUUAACCUGGGAACUGCAUCCGAUACUGGAUGGCUUGAAUCCGGGAGAGGGAUGCAGAAUUCCAGGUGUAGCGGUGAAAUGCGUAGAUAUCUGGAGGAACACCGGUGGCGAAGGCGGCGUUCUGGACUGCAACUGACUCUGAAAAACGAAAGCCAGGGGAGCAAACGGG